rnacentral:rRNA from 1 species
AAACUANUUUAAUUUGGCGGCAUUUCAUCUAUUUAGAGGAAUUUGUCCUUUAAUCGAUAAUCCACGUUAAAUUUCACUUUGAUCCUAAAAUUUAUAUACCACCAUCUUAAGAAUUAAUUUAAAAAUAUUCCUCUCAAUAAUUAAUAAAAAGUUAGGUCAAGGUAUAAUCAAUAUCAAAGAAUAAGAUGAAUUACAUUAAAUAAUAUUUAAAGACUAUAUUAGAUAUAUAAAUAUAAAUAAGAAUUUAAAAGUAAUAUAAUAAUAAUAAUAUUAUAUGAUAAAGAUAAUCAAUGUGCACACAUCGCCC